rnacentral:rRNA from 1 species
UACGGAGGAUGCAAGCGUUAUCCGGAAUGAUUGGGCGUAAAGCGUCCGCAGGUGGCAAUGUAAGUCUGCUGUUAAAGAGUCUAGCUCAACUAGAUAAAAGCAGUGGAAACUACAUAGCUAGAGUACGUUCGGGGCAGAGGGAAUUCCUGGUGUAGCGGUGAAAUGCGUAGAGAUCAGGAAGAACACCGGUGACGAAGGCGCUCUGCUAGGCCGUAACUGACACUGAGGGACGAAAGCUAGGGGAGCGAAUGGG